AUCUUGAAAAUUCACGUCGAGGACCAACGGUUCCGACUACUUUUCAAAAAGUCCGCCGGCAGACGACGUUAGCAAACCCGUGCUAACGCGUUCCUAGCUCGCAUCGCUAGCAUUUUCAAUUGAACUUGCAAUUGUUUGACUUUCUCCUUGAUCCGGAUUCUUCACUGAGCGACCCCUGGUUCCAGUUUUACCGGGGAUGACGUCACCGACAGAGACUCGACUAGACGAUCGCCGAUGUACCGAUCGCUUCCUACCUGGGUUCGACAGUGCGUCUGGCUUGCUGCAUAAAUGGAGAUUUCCAACCAAACUAGCUCACCAAAUUUCCAGGAAUAGCCAAACUGAAGUAAUUUGCGGUACAUAAAUGAAACUAAAUAACUGUUCUCUUAUCUUCUACCUGUUGUAAAUGAAGAAGACUUUACAUCUUGCAGAUCUGUGACUUAUAAGGAAAAGUUCUUAUGUCUCCAGUUCUUUGUUCCCGAACGUCGUACCAGGGCAGAACCGACUGCCAGAGAAAAAUUCCCCGUGUGUUUUUGUAUGAUUCUGAUGAGUCACCUUCGCGAUGCACUGUUUUGAAAUGAAACCUUUUGUUAUUAAAUGGUGUUUAAAAAAAAAUCGUGGAUUCCGUUAUUUUACGGUCAGCGGGAUUUUCUCUUAUCUGGUCAACUGAAAUGCUCGUUACCGUGGGGAUGACAACGCCGAUUGCGAUAUGAGAAGAAAAAAUGGUGGGAAAUAAACGAGUGUUGGUGGUCACCUCAGGACAGGAGGGGGCGUUCACGUCAUCAUCGGACACAAUGACGACUUUCCCGGCGGUCACUCUUGUCCUUUUGCUGCUUGGAACCGUCAGCCUGCCUUUGACUCGGGCGCAGGAAACGGCGCCAGCGCCGGAACCAGCCGGACCACCGACGGCAGACGUCUACACCGACGAUGAACAGCUGACUUAUAGCACAUACAGUACUGGCGACCACAUUUCCAUUACUCACGCCAGCCAUCCUGACUCCACCCACACUACCCACUCUGACCCCACCCACACUAGCCACUCUGUCCCCACCCACAGUACCCACUCUGACUCCACCCACACUACCCACUCUGACCCCACCCACACUAGCCACUCUGUCCCCACCCACAGUACCCACUCUGACCCCACCCAUACUAGCCACUCUG